GUCAAUUUUUGGUCAGCCACGGUGGUCUGACAGACGUAAGACAACAUGCUUCUGGUGAAGCACGCAAGAAAAACGAGACCCAGAGGAGAAGUCAGGGAGCUCUGACACAGUUCCUUGUCCGACAAGCAACUCCGGAGGCUAACAUGGUCAGAGAGUUCAGAGCGUAUAGGUUCGGAGUCGGAGCCCACUGAUGCGCGUUUCAAAGUUUGGAUGACAAUUAAUCAAGAUGAGCUUGCUGAAAUAUUUCAAAAGAAAAACGGAUCAUGGACAUGGAGAGAAGAAUCAAGCACAGCUUCAGCAGAUCACAGGGUUCGAUGUUGAGGACCUGGCAGUAGAUGUGGGCUUUUGGUUCAAAGCUAGCACCAAACGCAAGAACAUAUUGGAUGCUACAUGGAGACACUGCUGCAUGUGAGCACAAGGUGGCUUAGUUUGGAGAUGGUGGUCAGUCGGAUUCUACGUCUCUAUAAGGCACUCAAGAGUUAUUUUGGAAGCAUCCAUGAGAAGCAAGCCAGGUGUGUCCGGCUGCGUGAAUCGUUCCAGGACCCAAUGACGGAGAUCCAUCUCUUGUUCUACCAGUCGACACUGAUAACUUUCACACAUUUCAACCUGCUAUUCCAGCGGCAAGACCCUUGUGUCUAUCUACUUCAUGAACAAAUCAGGUUGUUCGUCAAGAAAC
ensembl:lncRNA